rnacentral:misc_RNA from 1 species
AGAGAAGCUUCAGAUAAGAAGAAGUGCGGCUAAAUUUGCACUCUAUCAGAAAUUUACCAAUUCCCUUGCAGUAGCAGUGUUGAUCUCCAUUUCUUGGAUUGGAUAUGAGUUGUACUUCAAUGCAACUGAUCCAUUGAGUGAAAUGUGGCAAAAAGCAUGGAUCAUCUCAGCUUUCUGGACUUUGCUUGCAUUUGUGCUACUGCUGGUGAUAUGCCUUCUUUGGGCUCCUUCGCAUAACCCAACAAGAUACGCAUUCUCUGAGGAGACAGUGGAUGAUUCUGAUGAAGCGAGUAUUCCUCUGUCUGAGAGUGUUGUUAAGGCGGGUGGAGAUUUAGCUAGCAAGGUGGAAAGAAAGGAAAGGAAGGCAUCAACUGCAUCAGAGCAGUAUGCGCUUGGGCUUGGAGAAGAUCUUGAGGAAGA